rnacentral:rRNA from 1 species
UACGUAGGGUGCAAGCGUUGUCCGGAAUUACUGGGCGUAAAGAGUUCGUAGGCGGUUUGUCGCGUCGUUUGUGAAAACUCACAGCUCAACUGUGAGCCUGCAGGCGAUACGGGCAGACUUGAGUACUGCAGGGGAGACUGGAAUUCCUGGUGUAGCGGUGAAAUGCGCAGAUAUUGCUCGGAAGGCCAGAGCCGAAGGGGCCCUACUGGUGCGCAACUGACACUGAGGCACGAAAGCGUGGGGAGCAAACAGG